rnacentral:rRNA from 1 species
GAUGAACGCUGGCGGCGUGCCUAAUACAUGCAAGUCGAGCGAACAGACGAGAAGCUUGCUUCUCUGAUGUUAGCGGCGGACGGGUGAGUAACACGUGGAUAACCUACCUAUAAGACUGGGAUAACUUCGGGAAACCGGAGCUAAUACCGGAUAAUAUUUUGAACCGCAUGGUUCAAUAGUGAAAGACGGUUUUGCUGUCACUUAUAGAUGGAUCCGCGCCGCAUUAGCUAGUUGGUAAGGUAACGGCUUACCAAGGCAACGAUGCGUAGCCGACCUGAGAGGGUGCUCGGCCACACUGGAACUGAGCCACGGUCCAGACUCCUACGGGAGGCAGCCGUAGGGAAUUUUCCGCAACGGGCGAAAGCCUGACGGAGCAACGCCGCGUGAGUGAUGAAGGUCUUCGGAUCGUAAACCUCUGUUAUUCGGGAAGAACAAAUGUGUAAGUAACUAUGCACGUCUUGACGGUACCUAAUCAGAAAGCCACGGCUAACUACGUG